UACGGAGGGGGCGAGCGUUGUCCGAAUUUAUUGGGCGUAAAGCGCGCGUAGGCGGAAACAUAAGUCUGCUGUGAAAGCCCGAAGCUCAACUUCGGAGGGUCAGUGGAUACUGUGUAUCUGGAAGAUGCUAGGGGGAGAUGGAAUUACCGGUGUAGCGGUGAAAUGCGUAGAUAUCGGUAGGAACACCAGUGGCGAAGGCGGUCUCCUGGGGCAUUCUUGACGCUGAGGUGCGAAAGCUGGGGGAGCGAACGGG
rnacentral:rRNA from 1 species